rnacentral:rRNA from 1 species
AGGUUACGUCAAGACUCACGGUUAUUAACCGUAGGCUUUUCUUCUCUACUGAAAGUGCUUUACAACCCGCAGGCCUUCUUCACACAUGCGGCAUUGCUGGAUCAGGCUUGCGCCCAUUGUCCAAUAUUCCCCA